GGCAGGGUUAAACAUGUUUAUGAGAUCUCAUCCCUCCCCCUAUACCUCUAGCCAAUGCAGAAAAGUAAAGGCAUAACAAUACGCAAUUAAAAUUCAGUCAAAGAGAAGUUCAAGUCUGAUGUCAGAAGAUGUAACCAAAGAAAAUAAACAAAAUGACAAUAAUACAUAAAUAACAUCAGACUACUAGCAGUUAACUGACAUGCCAGCUC
rnacentral:lncRNA from 1 species